GCUAGGAUGAACGCUAGCGACAGGCUUAACACAUGCAAGUCGAGGGGCAGCAUAAAAGUAGCAAUACUUGGUGGCGACCGGCGCACGGGUGAGUAACGCGUAUGCAACCUACCUAUCAGAGGGGAAUAACCCGGCGAAAGUCGGACUAAUACCGCAUAAAACAGGGGCACCGCAUGGUGAUAUUUGUUAAAGAAAUUCGCUGAUAGAUGGGCAUGCGUUCCAUUAGGUAGUUGGUGAGGUAACGGCUCACCAAGCCGACGAUGGAUAGGGGAACUGAGAGGUUGGUCCCCCACACUGGUACUGAGACACGGACCAGACUCCUACGGGAGGCAGCAGUGAGGAAUAUUGGUCAAUGGGCGAGAGCCUGAACCAGCCAAGUCGCCGUGAAGGAAGAAGGAUCUAUGGUUCGUAAACUUCUUUUGCAGGGGAAUAAAGUGCAGGACGUGUCCUGUUUUGUAUGUACCCUGAGAAUAAGGAUCGGCUAACUCCGUGCCAGCCGCCGC
rnacentral:rRNA from 1 species